rnacentral:rRNA from 1 species
UGUCUUUUUGGAAAUAAUAUAAAGUCUAAUCUGCCCACUGAUUAAUAAAUUAAAGGGCUGCAGUAUAUUGACUGUACAAAGGUAGCAUAAUCAUUAGUCAUUUAAUUGAUGACUUGUAUGAAGGAUUGGAUGAGAUAUAAACUGUCUCUUAUUUAAUUAUAUAAUUUAAUUUUUUUAUUAAAAAGUUAAAAUAUUUUAAAAAGACGAGAAGACCCUAUAGAGUUUAAUAAAUAUUUAAGUUAAGAUUAUUUUGAGGUAUAAACUUGAAAUUUAACUAUUUAUUUUGUUGGGGUGAUAAAAAAAUAUAAAAAACUUUUUUUUAAAAUAAUACAUUUAUAAGUGAUUAAAUGAUCCAAUAUUAUUGAUUAUAAGAAAAAAUUACCUUAGGGAUAACAGCGUAAUUUUUUUUUUUAGUUCAAAUAAGAAAAAGAGUUUGCGACCUCGAUGUUGGAUUAAGAUAAAAUUUAAAUGUAGAAG